rnacentral:rRNA from 1 species
GAUGAACGCUGGCGGCGUGCCUAAUACAUGCAAGUCGAGCGAACAGACGAGGAGCUUGCUCCUCUGACGUUAGCGGCGGACGGGUGAGUAACACGUGGAUAACCUACCUAUAAGACUGGGAUAACUUCGGGAAACCGGAGCUAAUACCGGAUAAUAUAUUGAACCGCAUGGUUCAAUAGUGAAAGACGGUUUUGCUGUCACUUAUAGAUGGAUCCGAGCCGCAUUAGCUAGUUGGUAAGGUAAAGGCUUACCAAGGCGACGAUGCGUAGCCGACCUGAGAGGAUGAUCGGCCACACUGGAACUGAGACACGGUCCAGACUCCUACGGGAGGCAGCAGUAGGGAAUCUUCCGCAAUGGGCGAAAGCCUGACGGAGCAACGCCGCGUGAGUGAUGAAGGUCUUCGGAUCGUAAAACUCUGUUAUUAGGGAAGAACAAAUGUGUAAGUAACUAUGCACGUCUUGACGGUACCUAAUCAGAAAGCCACGGCUAACUACGUG